rnacentral:rRNA from 1 species
GACGAACGCUGGCGGCGUGCUUAACACAUGCAAGUCGAGCGAUGAAGCACCUUCGGGUGUGAAUUAGCGGCGAACGGGUGAGGAACACGUGAGAAAUCUGCCUUCAACACUGGGAUAACUCCGGGAAACCGGGGCUAAUACCGGAUAUGAAACCUGCGGGCAUCCGCGGGUUUGGAAAGUUUUUCGGUUGAAGAUGAUCUCGCGGCCUAUCAGCUUGUUGGUGAGGUAAUGGCUCACCAAGGCGACGACGGGUAGCCGGCCUGAGAGGGCGACCGGCCACACUGGGACUGAGACACGGCCCAGACUCCUACGGGAGGCAGCAGUGGGGAAUAUUGGGCAAUGGAGGAAACUCUGACCCAGCGACGCCGCGUGCGGGAUGAAGGCCUUCGGGUUGUAAACCGCUUUCAGUAGGGAAGAAGCGAAAGUGACGGUACCUGCAGAAAAAGCACCGGCUAACUACGUGCCAGCAGCCGCCGUAA